AUUGAACGCUGGCGGCAGGCCUAACACAUGCAAGUCGGACGGUAGCACAGAGAGCUUGCUCUCGGGUGACGUGUGGCGGACGGGUGAGUGAUGUCUGGGGAUCUGCCCGAUAGAGGGGGAUAACCACUGGAAACGGUGGCUAAUACCGCAUAACGUCGCAAGACCAAAGAGGGGGACCUUCGGGCCUCUCACUAUCGGAUGAACCCAGAUGGGAUUAGCUAGUAGGCGGGGUAAUGGCCCACCUAGGCGACGAUCCCUAGCUGGUCUGAGAGGAUGACCAGCCACACUGGAACUGAGACACGGUCCAGACUCCUACGGGAGGCAGCAGUGGGGAAUAUUGCACAAUGGGCGCAAGCCUGAUGCAGCCAUGCCGCGUGUAUGAAGAAGGCCUUCGGGUUGUAAAGUACUUUCAGUGGGGAGGAAGGCGAUGUGGUUAAUAACCGCGUCGAUUGACGUUACCCGCAGAAGAAGCACCGGCUAACUCCGUGCCAGCAGCCGCAGUAA
rnacentral:rRNA from 1 species